UUUAAAGCUCUAACUAAACAUUAGCCUGUGUUAAAAGCAAAGUUGGUAUUGCUCUCGCUGACACAGUAUCCUAAGGAGUCUGCUAGACAAACUCAUAAAAGCUGCCCUAUGCUGAUUCUUGUCUUAAGGGAAGGUCACAGAAUCUCCCUGUGGAGCCUUAUGGAAAUGGCAGAGUAGUCAAGCCGCAGAGUUCCCACAGGACCUUCUAAUAGGGAUGCAGGCAGGCAGGAUGCAGUAAGUAAAUGGACCCUUCCUUUCAAGAAGGAAACUGAACUCCUAUUAAGUUGAGUAGGGAAUGUUUCAUGCUGGCUAUCUGAGCUUUGGCAGAACAAAAAGUUUAUUCUGCCAAAGGGAAUAUGCCCUGUGGGCAUGAGUCUGCAGGAAUCCCUCUGUGGUACCUCUGAUGGUGUAGGGAACUUGCAAACUCACUGCACAAGAAAAAGAGUCCUUGUGCAGUAGUCUUUCAAAGUUGAUCCUUAAAGAGUUUAGCACUCAAACUUACUUUGUCUUUUUAAGUCUUUCCCUUGACUAUCAGAAGAUGAAGCUAGUUCUUAUUAAAUAAGGCCUCACUGGAUGAGUGUGUUCUUCGUGGAAGGAGCUGCAUCCACAUGUCCCUAGUCAGUGAACUUCUCAAAGUCGCACGUGCCUGCAUGAGACAUGCUUGCACACUUAAAGGCUGCAGUGUGACAGGCUCCUGCUGUGUGACAGGCUCUUGCCGUGUGACAGGCUCAGUGUUUGGGUCGUUGUCCUCUUAGCUUGUUCUCCUCCAACCAUGAUUUUCACCUGGGACUCUCUGCCUCUUUUUGUUAAUGGGUUUAGGAAUUAAUUGCCUGGAAUACUUUGUUCUUUGAGAACUUUACAUUUGAAAAUAAUACUUUAGAUAUUAUUGGAUGGUCAUCUUAUUGUGCAUUUUAGCCUAACUGUGGGUUAGUCAUUGCUAAACCAACAUUUUAAAAAAUUGUUACUAACCUAAACAACUCAAGGAGUUUUGGUUUCAAAAGAACAAGGUCUAAAUUCUUGUCAAAGUCAUUUCAAGUUUCCUUUUGAUGUUGAUGUGAUAUUUGUAGCCUUGAUUUUGUCCUAUUUUGGAGCUGUAAAAUCUCAUUUUCAUAUAUUCUCUCUCCCUCUCUCUCCUUUCUCUCUGUACGUGUGCAUUCACACGUGCAUGCACACACAUUCACACAUACAUGUAUGCACAGUAUCAUCUUUGAUCUUUCCUAUAAUAAAGUGCAUUUCCUCUCAGGUAAGAGCAUAUGAAUACACAUUAUCAUUUAAACAGAAAUUACAUAAAGAAGCUUAAUUUAGUGUAAAGGAGAAACACAGUAUACAGUGCACCGUAUUUCUGUGAUUGCAGUGCAGAGCAGGCUACUCUGUGUGGUGACCCAUUUACCACCACAGUGAAGUAAGAGGGAGUGAGAUCCUUUCUUUAGGUCCUUUCAAACUUCUCAGUUCUGUUGUAGUGGAAAAUAAAUGGAAUGUUUUAUAGUCUUUAAUGUUUAGUAUUCUGAGGAAAAAUAGCCCUUAUGUAUCUUUAAUUAUUGGAUAAAACUCUUGAGAAUUAAAAUACGUAAUUCCUGAGCAUUCUGGAAUAAUUUACUUCUGUAUCUUAGUGAAGCUAAUCAUCUUAUCCGUCUGUCUUAGAUCUUACUAUUUCUGCUAAUGUUUAUAUUUUAUAACAGACACGACAGGAGAAGAAUAGAUUUAAGAAACUAAAGUAUUUAUUUUAGAUUAAAUCAUAAUUUGUGUAACUUAACAUGUUUUCCAAAAUAAAUAUAACAAAUAAUUUUACCUAAAAUAUUUGAAAGUUUGAUAAGAAGUCUAUACAAAUUAGUCAUUUUCAAUUAUUUUGGUCUUAAAAACAUGAAGUUUUAACUAUAAGCUUUCCUAAGCUUAGCAUAUUUUAGGCUAAUUUAUUAAUUUAAGAUUCUGUUGAUGAUUUGUAUCACCACCAAAGAAGGGAACCUUUCUGUUUUUGAUGACUUUAGCAGGACUGUGGAGUAGACUGUCAGUGUCCUGCCUGGACUUAAGCAUUCCUUGUCCUGUUGUCCUCUCUGCUGUGCUCUGGCUGAGUGCAUUAUCUGCUGUGGUUAACUGUGACCCUCCAUCACAGUGGAUUGUCUGCUGUGGAUAACUGCAGCCUUCCUCUGCCUCAGUGUCCCUGCUUCCAGGAAGCAGGGCCUGCCCCCCUUGUCUGUUGCAAUAGAGAAUCAAAUGAUUGCCUAAAGAAGAUAGAGCAUCCUGGGCGGGGGGCCUUAAAGCUGUUCUGUCUUGAUAAAGCCUGGUUUUCUUUAGCCGGUGGUUGAGUCCACAGCUUUAGCUAUUUAAUUGAAGGAAAAGACUGUAGUCAGUAGAGUUUAUUACUGGAAGUAGCUUUUAUUUUAUAUAAAUAUUAUAUACUUAAUAUAUGAUCAUUCCUAAAUGUGCUUACUGAAAUCUUGGUCUACAGUUUUGGUCUAGCCUUGACAUCUUUGACAAUGUGAUUGCUAACUCUUGCUUUGUUUUUAAUUCUUACUGAAUUAUCUAUAUAAAAUAGGGAAAUUGAAAGAGUAUUUUCUAAAUUGCUCUAAAGGCAGACCAAAUAUAGUAGCAGUCUUGAUACAUUACAAAGUAGGUACCCAGAAGCAUUGGGCAUGAAGCAUCUGGCCGGAUUAAAAAGAUAGUUACACAUGUGGGUUUCACAUGUACAGCAAUGGAGAGAGGGCUACUCAUUUCUCUUAGUGACGUUAAUGAUUAUAGUGCAGGAAUUUCUUAUUGCCCUUACAGACAUUGCCUCCCAUUGCUGUGUGCUUUUACUAUGCAUGUAGAGCUUAGAGUUGUGUGGACGAACAAUCUCAAAGGCUUUUUCUAUGCUGAUGACUUGGGUUUUGCUCUUACAACAGGAAAAGUACCACAUAGCAUGGCUACUGUGGAGGUAGCCUGGGGCUUCUGCAUGUUUUUUAAAACUGAAAACUUAAAAAAAAAAAAAAAAAAAAAAAAGACUGCUACUUACCUAGCUUUAAAUGAUACUAUGUGUUUUGAGAACAUUUAAUGGUUAACUAAAAAAUAUUUCUUAAAAAAAAC
rnacentral:lncRNA from 1 species